GUCAACAAAUUUUCUGAAAAAUACAGGUAGUCAUUCGAGAUUGUAAGUCUAUUAGUAGCUCUUCGAUGACAAAAUCUAAUAGUGAUCAGGAUGGACAUCCAUCGUGUCUCUAAUUUGGGGCUCUACUUAGCCUUUGUUUGUUUCGUAUGAAUUUAGGUGGUCCAUCAAAUUUUCAUCUAAGCUCAAUAAAACAGAGCCAUGCAUAGCCAGUCAUUACACGGCCAAUAGCAAUUGUACACAAAAUAGCUCACCCUGAACCGACAAAAGCAUCAACUAUGAUCAGCAACGCAUGUGAAAUCACAUCCUAAGUCCUAAAAGUAUAUGGCUACUGAAUAUCAGGGAACAUGAAAGCAGCAAGGCAAUGACAAAUGGACCAGUUCCAUGGCAGCAUGAUAUCUCUGCCCUCCUAUCCUUGUGAAUCUUGGUUAUUGGCAGGGAAAAACUUCUGAGUUGCCUUCCUUGGUUUGUGGGUAUAGACCCCUGCAGUGUACAACUUUCUGUAGAAAAAUGUAAAAUGUUAACACUGUUCUAAAUGGAUUUGCUAAUAAAACUCUAAAUUCAAGUAGGUGUGAGUGCAAACCAUGCAGAACCAUUCUUUCAGCCAAUCAACAUCGUUUUAAAGCAAAAGAAAUUGAGAAAUAAAGAACACAUCUACGCAGACCAUGGCAAGUUGUCUCUGCAUAAUAUACCGACAAACUUUGCAAACAUGUAUAGAAAAAGGACCUUAUAAAUCACGUACAUAUGAAUAUGUCUUCUCUAAAUGUAGGCCCUAGUUGAGAAGCAAGCCAGAUCUGGACAUUCAGUAACUAAAGCCACAAACUUAUCCACCUCUUCAUCCUUGAUCAACAUAUUCUAUAAGAUAGUAGUAUAUCUGUGUAUGCAGUGAACAAGGCCCGUAUGUUGCAACGGAAGAACACUCAUGAAUGUAAUCAACUGAACUAAAAAUUUUGCUAAUAUGUCUAGCAUCACACACCUCUCCUCCUCGUUCUACCUCACCACAAUUGCAUUACAUAUUAUGGUUAUACAUAUCCUCAAACGUGUAAGAACUAAUAUUUUCUUUCUCACGUGUAUGAAGAAAUACUUACAUUUACAUGCUAGAAACAAAUAGGAUGAAAAGUACAUAUGUCGUUCAUUGUUGUCCUUGUAUAAAAACAGUACAAACAAAGACAUAAACUCACUAAUCCUUGUUGUCUGUCUUUAUUUACAGAGCAUUUAACCUCUGCCUCAUUGAAAGUAUUCAAAACACAGAUUUCCGCAAACUAUAGGUAAAAGCUCCAAUUUCCACUAAAACAGGAACCAAAUAUUGCAGCAUAACAUUUUAUCACUUAGUAGUUAGAAAGAACAAAAAUUGAGCUAUUAUACCCAGUGAGUAUAGUAAUACCUUCAAUUCUUCAAAGAACAAAAAAUGAGCUAUUAUACUCGGUGAGUAAGCAUAUAAUCAUUCAAAGUAACCAAGGUCAGAGGUAAGCAGAAACUAUAAAUACCAUGUGCUCUCGCUUCUUUCUGUACAAAAAUACGCACCAUUUUAUACAAAAAACUGUACAUGGUCAGGAUUAAACUAAUUGUGAACUCAUAAUCUGAACUUCAAAGAACCAAGUUUUCUUACUCUAAGACAAGAGUGUAAAUAAUGAUAUGUAAAUGAAUAAUCAUAAUCUAAACCAAGUUCUCGUAUGAUGUGCAGGAGUUACAUUUCAAAAACAGUUUGUAACGCAUGGCAAUACAAUGUGAUAAUCAGGCUUCAGUCAUAAUGGGUGAAGAAUGCCUACCAGUAUAUCUACAUCUCAGGCCUAAUAAGAAACAAUGAAAAUGCAGUCAAGAUGGUGAACAAGCUAACUUUCUUUCCCAUUGCAUCUUUGAUAUAACCACGGUAGUGCGAACCAAUGACUUUGAGCUUGUCAAAUGGAUGCUUCUCCCAUAGUUCUUUAUGCCCCCUUCAAUACUUGUUCUCUUUGCUGCCUGCACAUAGGAGCGGUUUAGAUACCAAGACAACAUAAGAUAUAAUAUAUAUCCAUUCCGAAGCUUUCGACUUUAGUGGUGAUACAAUCUAGCUGCUAUGAUUACUCUAGUGGACAUAUAAACAGGACAAAUGACAAGCCCUAGACAUCAAAUAAAGACUUUGUGGGAGGUAACAUCCUUCUCGAUAUGAUUUCAUGAAAAGUCCCACAUAGGGUUUAUAAGUCUCAGCAUGCGGCAUGUACCUUUUGUCGAUGUCAACAUACUCAAAUAGGAAUAGGUCUUCUUCACCAAGUUCCAAUGUAAUAGGCUGUUGAGAAAAAAGAUGCAAUACCAAAAGUAAGAACGGUCUCUUGGCCAGUAUAUUCUGAUAAUUAGUCUAAAGGAGAAAAAACGCAUAAUGGGUGAUAAAUUAGUACAAAGAUAAAUAAAAUUAUAGAAAUGUGGAAGAAAACCUCGACCUUAGGAGUUGCGGGAACCAUAAUCAUUUUACCAGUUUCAUAGCUCCCAAUAAAUGCAAACUGGGAGUUCAUCCAUCUCAUCACCUGAUGACCUCUUGGACUUAAGUAGAGAUGAUUUCUGAAACAAAAUGUGAGAUGUUUAACCUUGGCCUCACCCAAACACACUUCUGUACUUUCUUCCACAAAUAUAUAUUCAAAUAGCUUGCAUAUAAAUUGGUGUCAAAAAAGAGCCAACUUAAUCAAAUGGCCUUGCUGCAUAUAAUCAAUAACCUUCAAGGUAUUUGGAAGUAUAUAUUUGUUUUAUGAAAACCCGUAAU
rnacentral:lncRNA from 1 species